UUAGCAAUCUUAAACGGGAGCAUUGUUAAAUAGUUCUCGCUUGUGUGUCAUAACCUCAGCAGCACAAGGAAAAAUCGUGAUCCGCAUCUUAAUGCCAGCUAGGGCAUAAGUAGUGCCUUGGCACAGCAGCUCCUGAAAGCUACGGUCGGGCUUGUGCCUCUCGAGAGUGCCUUGCAAGCAAGUACAGUCCCUCCACCGAGCACUUCUAGAAUCUAAAGGCGAGAUGCAAAAAGUUCUGCAGUCAAUUCCAUCUUUUCACAUCACAUUUCUUCCCUGCUCCAAAUAGAUAGCCUGGCAAGCACAAAGACUUCGAAGUACUACAACCAAGUUAAGAGUGUGUGUAGAAGUGAUGGAGGAUUUAAGAUGAGAAGUUGAAAAGAGCUACCUGGCAGUAUACUGUAUCAGUUCUUUGAAUAGUUUUGGACCAAGACAUCCUGAAGAUUAUUUGAUUUUAUCAUGGUCUCAGUUUUCAUUUCAAAAUAAGUCCCUCUGAAGAAAUAUUUAUGCCCAUACGGAUGCCUGAGUGUGCAGUCCGGAACAAUAGCUGUGAGUAACACUGAUCGGCGUCAUGAGGUUCAGAGAGAGAUGUUCAGUAGCUCAGGGCUUGCUGACAACCUUAUGAAGUGACUCUGUGCCAAGACAAGAAGAAUGUGAAGACCCUAUUAAACUAAACCCACUAAAACCUUGGCUUUUGGAGUAAUUGCUAAGGCCUCUUUGCCUCCGUCAGCCUGUGAUGGGAAAUGGGAAUGAACUGUAGGAUGGCCGUGAAAAGCCAGAACCACGCAAGCUUCAUGUCACGCUGUGCCUUGGGCAGAGGCUUGCUGUAAUCUGACCCUGGCCUCAGCAUCUCUUUCCCCGAACUGCAAAUCAUUCCAUUACCAUCAUGCUGUUUUACCAUCAUACAAAUGUGAAUUUACCCUAUGACAGAACAAGCCAUAUCUCUUGAUGGAAUAGAUUUCGCCAUCCCGUCUCGUGUGUGUGCUUUAUGCUGCAGGUCCUACGUAAGCCUAAGAAAAACCUUCUGAUGUGUACUACUGAUUGUUUACAUAGGUUAUCAGAGGGAAAAAAAAAAAAAAAAAAAAAAGAAACAGGAAAGGAAAGCUGGCAGCUGACACUGCCAAGAGACCUGGCAAUGUCUAGAAUCACAAUCGGAUCAUUUCCAGUCAAUAGGCUCUGUUCUCAUUUAAAAAACAAAAAUACAAAAAACAACACAAAACCCUUCCUAGAAAGUUGCUGCACUGUUAUUUUUCCUCCAUUACAGUCAGUGCAGAGGAAUACUUGCACUGACUCCUGCCCUCAGACCCGAAGCAGGCGAUACCGUGAGGUACUUCCAGGCAGAAAGUGGAAGGCACAGCUUGCCAAGAGGUGCGGUAAGAUAUGGUGGUUUAUACAAGCUCAACACAAGCAAUGCUGCUUGGAGCUGUGAUCACAGUUCUGUGCGAUAACGGCCUCUUAAUGAUAAUGAAAUCACAGACUUGUAAUGCAAAUAGAAAUCAAUGCCAAAAUAAGGAGGAAGAAUGCGAUAAAGCUUAGGACUUAGGCAUGUUUCUCAUCUUCAGGUCAGGCUCUGCAAGAGGGCUAGAAAAGACGCGUGCUGGAGGACUCAGAAUCCAGCUGCCUGCGUUUCAUAUUUGCCUGUAGCAGAGGGAACAUUUCCUUGCCCAGCUCAGCCAGCCCUCACUGUACUCUUCUGAAAUUAAAAUAUUAGAGAGAAUAUACUAAUUCAGUUUUAAUGAAAGUCCAACUCAAAUUGUGUCAGACAACAGAAACGUGUUUAAAUUUGUGUUGUAUCAGCCCGUCUGUUAUCAGCUCAUUCACACGUACAGACAAUACAGGAGACUUUGUUAGGGUGAAAUCAAAGUUGCAAACUCACAUCAGUAUCUCAGGUGCUCUAAUCCCUGCUAAUCCAGGCUCAAGCUUCAGAAGUCUUUGGCUUUAGAUAUAAAACUAUUCCCAUAAAGUUAAGCAUUUGAGGAUCAAGACUGUAAUUUUUGAAAAUGCUGACUCAUUUUCUAAUAAAAACUUGCCUGAAGAAAUGCGACAUAAGCAAAACUCAGAUUUAAACUUCAGCAUCAGCAUAAAUAUUAGACAUUUGUGUUAGCAUCAGCUAGAGAGGGAAAAAAAAAAAA